rnacentral:lncRNA from 1 species
CAUGUAUUGAUAUAACCCUUGUCUGUCUGUGUAUGUGGUCCAUCCAGAACAUGAUUACUGUUCUCUCUCUUUUGUUUGUCUCUUUAAAUUUAAUGUCAUAAUGUUGAUUACUAAAAGUAUGGCGAGCCAUUUAAGCCAAAUAACAGUAUUUAGGAUAGACUAAUAUUAUGGUCCGGGACUCACUGCAUGGCAAGGGUUAAUUUUUAUGCAACUUUCACAGAAGAUGCUGUGUAAACCUUAUAAAAAGAUUUUUUUU